rnacentral:lncRNA from 1 species
AUUUUUAAUCAAGCUUAAUAUCAUUUGGUAAUUUUAGUAAAUGGUUACAUUUAAGUUAAUUGCGUAUUUCAUGUUCGUAACUUUAUUGGCAGUUUAUUUUCGAUCUGUGAGUUUGAAUGUCCCCUGGUGUUUUUACCUACUGUUAUAAAAUAAUGUACGUUGUUUAUUUAAAACAUCAGAACAUAAUAAUUCCAAAGUAUACAUACCUGUCAUUUCAGACCUUUACAGACAUAGACGAUCCACAAUAAGAUUGGUAGAUGUAUACAGUUAAAUGGUUUAUGCUCGUAAUAGUGAGUUUCUUUCUGUUCAUUUCUAUUCAUUUCACUCUAUACGUGGGUCUUUUUACUUUUCCUUGGAGAGACCUUCGGUUGUAACUAAUUUUAUAUAAUAUAAUUUUUCAUCUUCUAACACGGUUUGUCUUGUUAUAACAACUCCUCGAAAAUGUAAAUCAUACCGAUGUUUUCGUUAUAUAUUAAAUGUUUUGUUCUCAUUUGUUUGAAGAAUUAUCAAGACUUCAAAUGAGAGUUAUAUUCCUUUCUGUAUUUGAUAUAAGGAAUUAUAUUUGGCCCAGGUAAACCAUUAGUGAAAGAGUGUUUUUUUUAAUUUCAGGAGGCAUAGGACAAUUUAAAGAAAAUAAGUUCAAGGUCAAAGAUAAAAGUCAUAUUCUGAACUUUUAUUUUGGCUUGUUAUCACCUUUUUUCAGAAACCCUAUGAUAAAUCGAAAAAAAAUCAUUGUCAAAGUUCAAGGUCAUGUUGUAGAUUUGUAUUUUCGAUAGUUAUCAUUUCUUUUUUUAACCAUCUCAAAUCUCAGAUACUGAUGAUAUAUGUUUUACUUAAGUUUUAUUUAUGUCGUAACACAUACAUUGUGUUACAAACCGUACGUUGUAACUAAAAGGAAGUUUUUCCGCCUCUUAUACUUAGAACUACACUAUGGUGAUAAAACUUCACAGCCAUAUGUAUGAAAAAGAUCUAUGGUUUUUUAGCUCACCUGGCCGAAAGGCCAAGUGAGCUUUUCUCAUCACUCGUCGUCGGCGUCGUCGUCGUCGUCGUCGUCGUCGUCGUCGUCCUGCGUACAAAAUCUUCUCCUCUAAAACUACUGGGCCAAUUUAACCAAACUUGGCCACAAUCAUCAUUGGGGUAUUUAGUUUAAAAAAUGUGUCCGGUGCCCCGCCCAACCAACCAAGAUGGCCGCCAUGGCUAAAAAUAGAACAUAGGGGUAAAAUGCAGUUUUGGCUUAUAACUCAAAAACCAAAGCAUUUAGAGCAAAUCUGACAGGAGUAAUAUUGUUCAUCAGGUCAGAUCUAUCUGCCCUGAAAUUUUUAGAUGAAUCGGACAUUCCGUUGUUGGGUUGCUGCCCUGAAAUGGAAAUUUUAAUGGAAAUUUUGGAAAUUUUUGCUGUUUUUUAUUAUCUUGAAUAUUAUUAUAGAUAGAGAUAAACUGUAAACAGCAAUAAUGUUCAGCAAAGUAAGAUCUACAAAUAAAUCAACAUGACCAAAAUGGUCAGUUGACCACUUUAGGAGUUAUUGCCCUUUAUAGUCAAUUUUUAACCAUUUUUCGUAAAUCUUAGUAAUCUUUUAAAAAAAUCUUCUUCUCUGAAACUACUAGGCCAAAUUUAACCAAACAUGGCCAUAAUCAUCAUUGGGGUAUCUAGUUUAAAAAAUGUGUCCGGUGCCCCGCCCAACCAACCAAGAUGGCCGCCAUGGCUAAAAAUAGAACAUCGGGGUAAAAUGCAGUUUUGGCUUAUAACUCAAAAACCAAAGCAUUUAGAGCAAAUCUGAAAAGUGGUAAAAUUGUUCAUCAGGUCAAGAUCUAUCUGCCCUGAAAUUUUCAGAUGAUUGGACAAACCGUUAUUGGGUUGCUGCCCCUAAAUUAGUAAUUUUAAGGAAAUUUUUGCUUUUUGGUUAUUAUCUUGAAUAUUAUUAUAGAUAGAGAUAAACUGUAAACAGCAAUAAUGUUCAGCAAAGUAGAUAAGAUACAAAUAAGUCAACAUGACAAAAUGGUCAGUUGACCACUUUAGGAGUUAUUGCCCUUUAUAGUCAAUUUUUAACCAUUUUUCGUAAAUCCUUGUAAUCUUUUAGAAAAAUCUUCUCCUCUGAAACUGCUGGGCCAAAUUUAACCAAACUUAGCCAUAAUCAUCAUUGGGGUAUCUAGUUAAAAAAAUGUGUCAGGUAACUUGGCCAACAAACCAAGAUGCCGCCAUGGCUAAAAAUAGAACAUGGGGGUAAAAUGCAGUUUUUGGCUUAUAACUCAAAAACCAAAGCAUUAAGAGCAAAUCUGGCAGGAAGUAAAAUUUUUGAUCAGGUCACGAUCUAUCUGCCCUGAAAUUUUCAGAUGAAUCAGAUAAUCGGUUGUUAGGUUGCUGCCCCUGAAUUGGUAAUUUUGAGGAAAUUUUGCUGUUUUUUUGUUAUCUUGAAUAUUAUUAUAGAUAGAGAUAAACUGUAAACAGCAAUAAUGUACAGCAAAAUAAGAACUAAAAAUAAGUCAGUACGACCAAAAUAGUCAAUUGACUUCCUAAGGAGUUAUUGCCCUUCAUAGUCAAUUUUUAACAAUUUUCUUAAAAUUUGAAGAUUUUCAAUAACAUUUUCCACAGAAAGUACUGUUAUAGAUAGAGAUAAUUGUAAGCAGCAAGAAUGUUAAGUAAAGUAAGAUCUACAAACACAUCACCAUCACCGAAACACAAUUUUGUCAUGAAUCCAUCUGUGUCCAUUGUUUAAUAUUCACAUAGACCAAGGUGAGCGACACAGGCUCUUUAGAGCCUCUAGUUAGGUUUACAGUCCUGCGGUUAAGACCUUGUUAUUUAAUUACAUUGAUGCACAAAAUUUUGACCUUUGAAAUAACCCGUAAGCGCUCCUGUUAUGACAAUUUCAAUAUUUAUGAAACAUUUCUUUAUUUGAUGCACAAGAUUUUGACCUUUGAAAUAACUCGUUAGUGCUCCUUUUUGACAAUUUCAAUAUUAUGAAAAAGUUAUUUAUUUAAUGUUUCAGCUUAAAACAAAGGUCUCAAAUAAUUUUAGUGGUUAUCUAAGGAGUUUUAUCAAAACAAAACACAUAUACCAAUAGAAACAAAAAAAAGUGAAUAUUAUUUACAAGGAAUUGGUGUGUCUUGUUUUUUGUUGUUGUUUUGAUUUGUUUGGUUUGUUUUUGAGUUUUUGGUUUGGAAAGGAGGGGUGGGUAAUGACCUAACCGUUUAAGAUUUGGGGUUACAAAAGGGAAAUAAACAAUGAAUUUAUGGUUUCAGAACAAUUGCAUCAAUCUUAGGAUGUGAAUCUCUAUUAAACAAACGAAAGAGUUUGUAGAGAAAUUUACAAAGUUCCAUACAUAAUAAUGAUGGUUAGUAUUGAUUUUGAGGGUUAUGGCACGAACAUAGGAAUAAGAGACCAAAAGGGGCCAAACAUAACACUGCAAACAUAGGCUAUUUCUUGAUAAUUCCAGUGUACUUUCAUUCCUUGUCUUGAAUUAUUUGAAUUCUUCAGUAUGCUGAAUUUUACCCUGUUUUUAAUUUUUCAAUAUUGAACCAUAUUGGACAUUUCCUAAAUAUUAAAAUGUAGACAAUGAAAUGUUUUAAGUUAUUUUAACUUAUUUAUUCUUUGUCGGAGACAUAUGCUGUGUCAAAAAUGUAAUCAUAAUAUAAAAAAAAGAAGAUGUGGUAUGAUUGCCAAUGAGACAACUGUCCACAAGAGACCAAAAUGACACAGACAUUAACAUUUAUAGGUCACCGUACGGCCUUCAACAAUGAGCAAAGCCCAUACCGCAUAGUCAGCUUUAACAGGCCCAGAUAAGACAAUGUAAAACAAUUCAAACGAGAACACUAACGGCCGUAUUUAUAUAAAAAAAAAUGAACCAGAAACAAAUAUGUAACACAUAAACAAACGACAACCACUGAAUUACAGGCUCCUGACUUGGGACAGGCACAUACGAAAAUAAUGUGGUGGGGUUAAACAUGUUAGCGGGAUAACCCUAAUUCAGAGCUGUAUCAAGCUUUAUUAUGUGUCCUUUGAAGUAAAAUUACAAAAAUACUGAACUCCGAGGAAAAUUCAAUACUCAAACACAGUAAACGAAUGGAUAACAACUGUUAUAUUUCUCACUGGGUUUAAUCUCUGCGAUCGUAUCAACCUGAUUCUUGCGAAACAUUUUAUUUUGAUUUAUUUUAUGCAACCAAUGUCAACUACAUGUGAUGUUUAAUACAUGAGAAUCAAAAACCAGUUUGAAGAGAAUAAUAUUUUGCCUGCAAGAUAAUUGUUACGGGGACGAUUUGAAUUAUGCAAUACAAUUAUAAUUAUCUGUGCAUUCGUGCUCCACCUUCAAUGCAUAUUCUAAAUUAUAAAUAUAACCAACAGUUGUUAAUAUAUAGGAUAGUGAAGACUAUAAUGAAAGCUAACCCACUGUAAAAAAUAUUUCUUUGAAAUUUUUUAAAACUUCCUCAGAAAAAUACUCGAGCCACUUGAUUUUUAUAGCUCAUAAUCAACGUUUGUACACAAUAUUUUAAUAAGUAGUAAAAGAUCAUUUGCUUCUCAAAGUGUAAGACGCAAUAAAAAUCGUAUGCUUGCAUCAACUUACCCUAAUACAGAUUUAAUUAAGUCCUGAACAUUUCGACAUGUGUUUGUUUAUUUUAAAAAAAAUACCGGUUUGAAACAAAUCGUCGUCAGGUAAAUAUGCUACUUUAAACAAGUUUAACAUUAGCACAAUAACUGGAGAGCCACGCCAUAUGCAUACGAGAAUGUAACAUACAAAAAUGACAGGAUGUACAGUACCACAACAUCUUAUUUACAACAUUAACAAAAAAGAAUAACAAAAAAACACAAAAAAGCAGAUAUCAAGCCUAAUAAGCUCACCAAUCGCUUUCCCAUUUUUGAAAUGUAUAUAUGUAUGCCAAAUCCAGCCAUAACCGACUGAAACCAAAUGGCUAAACCCACAUUGACUCUACAUCUUAGAAUUUAAACGUCACACAGGUAGAGAUAUAAAAUAAUUUUGUUGUUCAAAGUAUGAAAAUAUCAUAGUCCUUGGUUCUUUAAGCAGAUCCUUUGUAGAAUUUAAAUUAAAAGUUAAAAACAUUUCCUUCUUGUCAAUUUUCACUAGUCUAAAUGCUUAUUGUGUAUUUCUUCUAUAAAAGCCACGUCAUUAUGAAUAAAAGAUUCACAAAAGGGGAUAUAGGCAUAAGAAAAUAUGACAGACCAGAAUACAAAAAUUAUAAAAGAACAAUAACACAAUAGCAGAAUAGAUGUUGUAUAAAACCCAUUAAUAAUUGUUUUUAUCGCUUUUGUAAAUAACUGGUCUUCUUGUCAACCAUCUGUCCGUCAGUGUGUUUCUCUUCUCGUUAUUAAAGUAUAUAUCCCGUACGAAAUAAGUAGUAGGAUUCCACAUAGACACUAGAAGAAUGAAGUAGGAAUCCACCUAGAUUCAAAGAUUCCAUAUAGAAAGAAGGCGGACAUGGAAAAUUAACAAAUUCUGACUGGAUUUUUUAAUAUUCCUACUUCCAAAAUCCUACCUCCUAGGUGGAAUUUUAAAAGUGUAUGGAUUUUUUUUCUGUUUUGAAAAUCUGAUUUGAUUAUUUAUUUUCCUACAACAUGUUUUAGAUUCCUACCAGAAUUAAUUUAUAAGUUCCUACAAGAAAAUCUUUCUGCCUGGAAAGUUAUAUUAAACUGUUUGCUAAUGUCACACAUUUUGCAAUGUUAAAUGCAAGCAAGUUCCAGUUCACAAAUUUAAAUGUUGGAGGGAAAAGAAUAAAAAGUAGUGUUGGAAUACAAUGCUGCAAACUAGGGUCACACAACUUCAAUAAAGAUAUGUAAGAGAAUAUGGCUUAUCAAGACUAACGGUAAUUCUUAUACAUUUAAGAUGAUUGUUUUAUCUGCCUGCCAAAAAUAUUUAGUAAUCAAUUAAUUCAACAAUAGUUCAUAAUCUUACUCAUUAUUUGUUCAUUAAACUUGUAUCUACAUGUUUAUAUGUAACACUUUUUAUAUCUUGCAUAUAUUGCAGUUUCCUUAUAAAUUUCAAAAGUCCAUUUUUUUAAAAAGGAAUUUAUUCCAUGAAUUUCCUUUGUUCUUUGUUGUUGAGAUUCAAACUUAUGAUUGACCCAGUUGUGUAUUUGUGAAUAUACACUUACAUUUUGUAUAUAUUUUAGAUUCCUACCAGAAAAUAUUUUUUCUGGGUGGAAAUUUUGAAAAAUUCCUACCAGGUUUUCUAGUAGGAAUUUUAUUUUCCUACCAAAUUAUUUCUGCUAAUUUGCAUAUUCCUGGUAGAAAUAUACAAUAUUCUACCAGGAAAUUCCUGCUUAUUUAAAUUUUUCGGCUAUUUUUCGUGUGGAUUCUUACUACUGUCUGACUAGAAUAUCACUCUUUUCAUGUAGGAAUUCAAAGCAAUUUUCCUACUAUAUUCCGUGUACAUUCCAUAUGGAUUGUUUCGUAAAUGUUACAUAAAUAUCAGUUUUAUAAUUGUAGAAUAUUUGUAACUUCUUUAUACCUGGAUUGUCAUACAGCCUUACGUGCCCUGAUCGUUCACAUCGGCGUCACAGACAAAAUGCUUACUGCGACGAAAUGAAGCCAGAAUAUGUAUGCUUAAAAGACCUGAACAAAGUGAAAUAUAUCGAGUUGUGCGAAAGCAGUAUUGAUUUCCAGCGACCAGG